UACGGAGGGUGCGAGCGUUGUCCGGAAUCACUGGGCGUAAAGGGCGCGUAGGUGGCACGGGUAGUCGUCGGUGAAAGCUCAGGGCUCAACCCUGAGUCGGCCGGUGAUACUCCCGAGCUCGAGCGUGGUAGAGGCCAAUGGAAUUCCGGGUGUAGCGGUGGAAUGCGUAGAGAUCCGGAAGAACACCGGUGGCGAAGGCGGUUGGCUGGGCCACAACUGACACUGAUGCGCGACAGCGUGGGGAGCAAACAGG
rnacentral:rRNA from 1 species